GAUGAACGCUAGCUACAGGCUUAACACAUGCAAGUCGAGGGGAAACGACAUCGAAAGCUUGCUUUUGAUGGGCGUCGACCGGCGCACGGGUGAGUAACGCGUAUCCAACCUGCCCACCACUUGGGGAUAACCUUGCGAAAGUAAGACUAAUACCCAAUGAUAUCUCUAGAAGACAUCUGAAAGAGAUUAAAGAUUUAUCGGUGAUGGAUGGGGAUGCGUCUGAUUAGCUUGUUGGCGGGGUAACGGCCCACCAAGGCGACGAUCAGUAGGGGUUCUGAGAGGAAGGUCCCCCACAUUGGAACUGAGACACGGUCCAAACUCCUACGGGAGGCAGCAGUGAGGAAUAUUGGUCAAUGGGCGAGAGCCUGAACCAGCCAAGUAGCGUGCAGGAUGACGGCCCUAUGGGUUGUAAACUGCUUUUAUAAGGGAAUAAAGUGAGUCUCGUGAGACUUUUUGCAUGUACCUUAUGAAUAAGGACCGGCUAAUUCCGUGCCAGCCGCCGCCGUAA
rnacentral:rRNA from 1 species